ensembl:snoRNA SNORD26 Small nucleolar RNA SNORD26
CUGCGGGGAUGAUCCACUGAACUCUCUCUUGCUGAUGGGCUGGUGGAGAAGCUCCUGAACACGCUCUGAGUGGC